CGGUCACGUUCGUUGCUUUCAGAAUUAUGCUUUGUACGAUGUGCUAAAUUGACAAAACGAGGCACGCGCCACCUCUUACAAAAAUAUAAAAAGUGGGGGCCAACGCUGCCACACAAACGUACGUUUGAUAUGCAAAUUCAUUGUGAAACGCAAUUAAGCAGACAGAUCACUCCACGAACUAAGAACGGCCAUGCACCACCUAUCACAUAAUCAUGAAAGGACUAGCAUAUUUGACACAAUAAUGUUUAAAAAACAAAAUUGAUAAAACCUGUCAAUCCUUAGUGUGUCCGGACCCGGUAAGAUUUCCCGCGUUGAGUCAAAUUAAGCCACAUGCUCCACGCGUUCUUGUGGUGCCCUU
rnacentral:rRNA from 1 species